rnacentral:rRNA from 1 species
GUGGGGAAUAUUGGACAAUGGGCGAAAGCCUGAUCCAGCCAUGCCGCGUGAGUGAUGAAGGCCCUAGGGUUGUAAAGCUCUUUCAGUGGGGAAGAUAAUGACGGUACCCACAGAAGAAGCCCCGGCUAACUUCGUGCCAGCAGCCGCGGUAAUACGAAGGGGGCUAGCGUUGUUCGGAUUUACUGGGCGUAAAGCGCACGUAGGCGGAUUGGUCAGUUAGAGGUGAAAUCCUGGAGCUCAACUCCAGAACUGCCUUUAAUACUGCCAGUCUAGAGUCCAGAAGAGGUGAGUGGAACUCCUAGUGUAGAGGUGGAAUUCGUAGAUAUUAGGAAGAACACCAGUGGCGAAGGCGGCUCACUGGUCUGGUACUGACGCUGAGGUGCGAAAGCGUGGGGAGCAAACAGGAUUAGAAACCCCAGUAGUCC